GAUGAACGCUGGCGGCGUGCUUAACACAUGCAAGUCGAACGAAGCAUUUAAGACAGAUUUUUUCGGAAUGAAGUUUUUUAUGACUGAGUGGCGGACGGGUGAGUAACGCGUGGGUAACCUGCCUCACACAGGGGGAUAGCAGUUGGAAACGACUGGUAAUACCGCAUAAGCGCACAGCUUCGCAUGAAGCGGUGUGAAAAACUCCGGUGGUGUGAGAUGGACCUGCGUCUGAUUAGGUAGUUGGUGAGGUAACGGCCCACCAAGCCGACGAUCAGUAGCCGACCUGAGAGGGUGACCGGCCACAUUGGGACUGAGACACGGCCCAGACUCCUACGGGAGGCAGCAGUGGGGAAUAUUACACAAUGGAGGAAACUCUGAUGCAGCGACGCCGCGUGAGUGAAGAAGUAUUUCGGUAUGUAAAGCUCUAUCAGCAGGGAAGACAGUGACGGUACCUGACUAAGAAGCUCCGGCU
rnacentral:rRNA from 1 species